rnacentral:rRNA from 1 species
UUCUUUAAUAGUUUUCUUUGUCUGGAAUCAUAAGCUCAAAAUGGUGGAGCAACCCAAACCAGAUUUGGUUAGGGGAGGAUGGUGGUUCGAAUCCACCUGAUUCCGCAUUUCAGUUUCUUGUAGGAGUGCAGAGAUGUAAAUUGGAGUGUGCGGGGAUGUAAAUAAAUUUAUUUGCUGAGUGUGAAUACUUUAGCAUUAUGCAUGUUGGCUUACCUGGGCUCAAUGCUCUCAGAAAAAAUGGAUUUCCUCUCAAUUUUUGUCUAAGUUGUAAGUUUCAUUGUAAGUAACCAUUCAUGUUUUAGGUCCAUUGCCGUGAUUCUCUGAAAAUGUCAUGUUUGAUGAUGUUUUAAUUCCAUUCCCGUGAUUCUAUGAAUGUCAUGUUUAAUGUUUCUUUCUACUUCCUAUACUCCUAACCUGGGAUUGUUCCAUCAAAACUACAUUUGACAGACAGCUUGUGUUAUCAUCUCUUUGUUAAUUCUCAUCGCCUGGCUUUCUUCAAAGUGACAAUAGAAUAGGUUUAUGUGAAUAAACUUUUUUGUUUUUUUUGUAUGUGUGGUGGGGGUUUAUUUGGGUUAAUAUUCAUAGGGGUCAGUAAAGAUAUCCCAAAAACUGAAAAUUACAUAUAUCAGGCUCUCAUAAGGUAAUAAUAUCAUAUGCAGAGAAAAUGAGUGAGUGCAUUUUUUAUUUUAUCUAAAAUACUGCUAAUCAUUUUCUCUAUAAACAUAUUCAGGAUUGAAGAAUAUUUAAUCCUUGAAUCUAAGCUUGUAGUAUAACUUUUCAUUGAAUCGAAAGUAGCAAUCAAUAUAAACAAUCAUCGAUCCCUAAUUUCAUCCUAAAUAAAAGAGAACCCUGAUGAACCCUAAUUUCAUCAUAAAUAAAAGAGAGAGAGAGAGAGAGUACCUGUUCGGUUGCAGUGGCUGUCGAUUUUGAAGUCGAGGGAAGGCGAGGGAGGAGCAGGGAAGUCGAGGGAGGAGCAGGGAAAUCGAGGGAGCAGGGAAGGAGGGGAGGAGGGAAGUCGAGGGAGGGAGCAGGGAAGGAGAAGGAGCAGGGAGAAGUCAAGUCGAGGGAGGGAGCAGGUAGAUGGAGGGAACCGUCGAGGGAGGGAAGCAGGUCGAGGGAGAGAAUGAGAGAUCGAAUUUGCGAAAGUUUUGUCGAUGAAGGUCGAGCGCCAAAAAUAGCUCGCCCAAUUUUUUUUGCUUUUCAUGUAGCCACGGUUUUUAGCCGUUGCUAAAGCUAGCCACGAUUUAAAACCGUUGCUAAAUUUGUUUUUGCAACGGUUUUUAGCCGUUGCUAGCUCUAGCCACGGUUUAAAACCGUUGCUAAAUUUUUUUGUUGCAACGGUUUUUAGCCGUUGCUAGCUCUAGCCACGGUUUAAAACCGUUGCUAAAUUUUUUUUGUUGCAACGGUUUUUAGCCGUUGCUAAGCCUAGCCACAGUUAAAAACCGUUGCUAAAUUUUUUUUUGCAACGGUUUUGGGCCGUUGCGAAUACUUCCCACGGUCUGUAGUCGUUGCUAAUAUUAGUAACGGUUUUAAACCGUGCCAACUAUACCAACGGUUUUAAACCGUGGCCAGGGUGUUUAUUAGCCACGGUUUUAAGCCGUUGGUACAUAUAGCUACGGUUUUUAGCCGUGGCAAAUGUACCAACGGUUUAAAACCGUGGGCAGCUCGGCGUAGCUAAAUGGCCCUUUUGGUGUAGUGGUUGGUAACCUAAUGAUAGGAGAACCAACAACCAAAGCCCCGAUGAACGACAACCGUAACUAUAAUGGUCCUAAGGUAGCAAAAUUCCUUGUCAGGUAAGUUUUGACCUGCAUGAAAGGCGUAACGAUCUGGGCACUGUCUCAGAGAGAGGCUCGAUGAAAUAGACAUGUCUGUGAAGAUGCGGACUACCUACACCUGGACAAAAAUACCCUAUGAAGCUUUACUAUUCCCUGGGAUUGGCUUUGGGCCUUUCCUUCACAGCUUAGGUGGAAUGUGAAGAAGGUCCCCUUUCGAGGGGGGGGGCAAGCCAUCAGUGAGAUACCAUUCUGAAAGACCUAUAAUUUUGACCUUGUGUCAAGACCUAUAGGCCAAGGGACAUUCUCAGGUAGAUAGUUUCUAUGGGGCGUAGGCCUACCAAAAGUUAACGGUGGCGUGCAAAUGUUUCCUCGAGCCGGACGAAAUUGGCCUCGAGUGCAAAGGCAAAGGGAGCUUGACUGCAAGACCCACCCAUCGAGCAGGGACAAAAGUCGGCCUUACUGAUCCGAUGGUGCCGAGUGGAAGGGUCGUCACUCAACGGAUAAAAGUUACUUUAUGGAUAACAGAAUGAUUUCCCCCAAGUGUUCACAUUGACGGGAAGGUUUGGCACCUCGAUGUUAGCUCUUCGCCACCUGGGGCUGUAGUAUGUUCCAACGGUUGGGAUGUUCGCCCAUUUAAGCGGUAUGUGAGCUGGGUUCAGAACAUCAUGAAACAGUUUGGUCUAUAUCCGGUGUGAGCGUUAGAGCAUUGCGAGGACCUUUACCUAUUAUGAGAGAACCAGGAAGGACGCACCUUUAGUGUACCAGUUAUCGUGCCCACGAUAAACGCUGGGUAGCUAAGUACGGAGCGGAUAAUUGCUGAAAGUAUCUAAGUAGCAAAAUGAGUGUUCUUCUAUUCCGACUUCUCCAGAGCCUCCAAUAGCACACCUGGGACAAUGACGGGUGCCCCUGCAAGGAUGGAGCGACAAAAGUUUUGAGAAUCCAAGAGAAGGUCAUGGCGAGACAAGCCGUUUAUUAUUGCGAUAGGU